CAUAUUUUGGAAGAGGCGCGAGAAAUGUAAACAUUGUUGCUCGCGUUCCUGGGAGCUUGAAGAAAUUUACGAGAUUCAACAUUUCUACGGAAUUGUGAGCAUCACCUGUCCAAUGUAACUGUGCAGUACAGUACUGUAAACAGUGGUUUUUAACGCAAUAUCUUUCGGAGACAACUGAAAGCGAGCAUUCGAAGUUCGGAACUAUCAACGCACAUGGUUGCUGAGAGUCAACAGCUGUCUCCUGAGCAUCUAUCUACCAUUUCGUGUGGCGAAGACUGGCUUCAUCGCCGGACAGACAUCUUUGGAGUUUUAUGAAGGUGAAUGGGGAGGCACUGCAGCAAUUAGUGUGGACUGAGUUGAAGGAGUAGAGGAAAUCUGCCCACCGUGUUUAGUGGUCAGAAAUAAGUGUAAUCCAUUAAUGAUGUCCAUGAGGCUGUGUGCACCAAAAAUCUGCUUUAGAAAAUCAACUGAUUACUAUGCACAGCGUGUGAUGGCCGAGGAGUCAACAACAUUAUGACUUGACUACAUUAGUUUUCAAACUCCAAUCAGUGGUACUCUUCAGAGAGGACGAGGAGAUGGCGAUAAUUGACAGCAUUGAAAUGACCAAGUCUCCCACUCCCAUGCUGGUGACAAAUAACACCUUCCAAGAUGUCAUGACCACAAGAGAAAAAGCACACUGCUCGUUUUUCAGAAGGAAAUCCAAAUGUGCCAGCAUCUGCAUGCGAACUUGCAAAAUUUACUUUUAAAUUUUAUUUAUACA